GCAAGUCGAGCGCACCUUCGGGUGAGCGGCGGACGGGUUAGUAACGCGUGGGAACAUACCCUUUUCUGCGGAAUAGCCUUUGGAAACGAAGAGUAAUACCGCAUACGCCCUUCGGGGGAAAGAUUUAUCGGUGAAGGAUUGGCCCGCGUCUGAUUAGAUAGUUGGUGGGGUAAUGGCCUACCAAGUCGACGAUCAGUAGCUGGUUUGAGAGGAUGAUC
rnacentral:rRNA from 1 species